GACGAACGCUGGCGGCGUGGAUUAGGCAUGCAAGUCGAACGGUAUCAUCCUUUCGGGGGUGAGAGAGUGGCGAACUGGUGAGUAACACGUAGGUUAUCUACCCUCAAGACGGGGACAACCCAGGGAAACUUGGGCUAAUACCGGAUGUGAGCAACUUUUAGUUGUUUGAAAGGUGGCGUAAGCUGUCGCUUGGGGAUGAGCCUGCGUCCUAUUAGUUAGUUGGUGAGGUAACGGCUCACCUAGGCAAUGAUAGGUAGGCGGCCUUAACGGGUGGUCGCCCACACUGGGAUUGAGAUACGGCCCAGACUCCUACGGGAGGCAGCAGUCGAGAAUAGUCUACAAUGGUCGGAAGACUGAUAGUGCGACGCCGCGUGAACGAUGAAUCCCUUCGGGGUUAAAGUUCUUUUAUAUGUGAGCAGUGCUUCUUAUAUUAACAGUAUGGGGAAGAGAUAUUAGCAUAUGAAUAAGCAACGGCUAACUCCGUGCCAGCAGCCGCGGUAAAC
rnacentral:rRNA from 1 species